GCUCGCCCCCGUCCUUGCACACGCGGCAGAACUCCAUGUGGUCGUCCUCCUCCUCCUCGCAGCCGCCCUCCUCCUCUUCGUCGUCGUCGUCCUUCGGCUCCCACUGGAUCCCCUCCUUCUCCUGGGGGAGGAGGCCAGGGGAGGACAGGGUCCUGUGAUCCCAGGGCCUCAUGAGGCUUCACUGGCUUUGGCAGUGUGGGGUGGGACAAAGCACAGAAGAGGCUCCAGAGACACAGUGCUCCCUGUGAUUCACCUCAGCCUCCCACACAGCUGGAAACCUCACAUUACAGCCCACUCAAACAGCCUGAUGUCCUACCACCCUCCCAGAGUCCUGCUCUCUAGCAUCAGACACUCCCCACAAUUUCCACUUCCGAAAAGCUCCCCAAACCCUGCCCUCUGUCCUGCCAAACUCCUAAACAUCCUUCAAGAGGCAGCCCUAGGGACACCUCCUCCAAGGAGUCUUCCCAGAUCUCUCCUUUACUGGACCUAUUGCGGCUGCCUGUGUGCCAGGUCUGGCCUGUCCUGUCUCACUAGUACAUCACAGGCUCUCCACCAGAGAACAUGCCUGCCAGGUGACAAGUGCCACAGGACCAGGGCCCACCACAGCUGAGCAGAGGGCCUGGCACACGGCUCCAGCCCCCAUGCAGCUACUCCCCAUGAGAGGAGACGGCAGCGGCCAGGCCCCACCAGGACAGAUUCCUCCACCUUGCCCAAAUGGAGCUGCGCUGUGGACAACAGGAGCCAGGACUGAAGCUCCCAGCUCAGGAGGGUGAGCCAGGGGAGCACUCCUACACAGAGUCCAAGGCGCUGCAAGACUUGAAGGGCCAGCCGGGCAUGGUAGCUCACGCCUGUAAUCCCAGCACUUUGGGAGGCCGAGGCAGACAGAUCACGAGGUCAGGAGUUUGAGACCAGCCUGACCAACAUGGUGAAACCGCGUCUCUACUAAAAAAACAAAAAUUAGCUGGGCAUGGUGGCGCGUGCCUGUAAUCCCAGCUACUCAGGAGGCUGAGGCAGGAGAAUCGCUUGAACCCAGGAGGCGGAGGUUGUAGUGAGCCGAGAUCGCACCACUGCACUCCAGCCUGGGCGACAGAGGGAGACUCGGCCUCAAAAAAAAAGACGUGAGGGGCCACAGUGGCCUCAGAGUCUCCAUCCCACCUCUGACAGAGCUGAGAGGCCAUGGUGGUGAAUGACGCCCCAGGAAAGACUGGAACCACCUUCCCCAAGGGGAAGAGACUCGAGGGCCCAGGGCCAGGCCCCGCAAGGGAAGGCCUGGCGGUCUAUUAGCAUGAGGGCGUCCUGCCCCUCCCUCCAGCUCCCCCAGGUUGCUGAGUCUGUCUGACAGAGCUCACCCCUACCCCAGGAGCCCAGGCUUCAUUCCUCUGCCUCCCUCCCAGGGGCGGUGCAGGCCUCGAGAGCAGCCCUGGCCCCUGCCCACCUGAGG